rnacentral:rRNA from 1 species
UGGGGAAUAUUGGACAAUGGGCGAAAGCCUGAUCCAGCCAUGCCGCGUGUGUGAAGAAGGUCUUCGGAUUGUAAAGCACUUUAAGUUGGGAGAAAGGGUAGUAACUUAAUACGUUGCUACUUUGACGUUACCGACAGAAUAAGCACCGGCUAACUUCGUGCCAGCAGCCGCGGUAAUACGAAGGGUGCAAGCGUUAAUCGGAAUUACUUGGCGUAAAGCGCGCGUAGGUGGUUCAGUAAGUUGGAAGUGAAAUCUCCGGGCUCAACCGUGGAACUGCUUUCAAAACUGCUGAGCUAGAGUACGGUAGAGGGUGGUGGAAUUUCCUGUGUAGCGGUGAAAUGCGUAGAUAUAGGAAGGAACACCAGUGGCGAAGGCGACCACCUGGACUGAUACUGACACUGAGGUGCGAAAGCGUGGGGAGCAA